GACGAGUUUGAUCAUGGCUCAGAAUCAACGCUGGCGGCGUGCCUCAGACAUGCAAGUCGAACGAUUAAAGCUCUCUUCGGAGAGUGCAUAGAGUGGCGCACGGGUGAGUAACACGUAAGUAAUCUACCUUCGAGUGGGGAAUAACGUCCGGAAACGGGCGCUAAUACCGCAUAAUGCAGCGGCAUCGCAAGAUGACAGUUGUUAAAGGAGCAAUCCGCUUGAAGAGGAGCUUGCGGCAGAUUAGCUAGUUGGUAGGGUAAUGGCCUACCAAGGCUACGAUCUGUAACCGGUCUUAGAGGACGGUCGGUCACACUGACACUGAAUAACGGGUCAGACUCCUACGGGAGGCAGCAGUCGGGAAUUUUGGGCAAUGGGGGAAACCCUGACCCAGCAACGCCGCGUGAAGGAUGAAGUAUUUCGGUAUGUAAACUUCGAAAGAAUAGGAAGAAUUAAUGACGGUACUAUUUAUAAGGUCCGGCUAACUACGUG
rnacentral:rRNA from 1 species